rnacentral:lncRNA from 1 species
CCACCCCUAGGUAUGAACCAGUCUAGGGUAGUCAAGUGGCAGAGACUGGGUAGAGUAUUCAGUCGAUACUAUUAGCUGGCUCUGGUGUUGCUUAUGGGGAUGAGUAAGGCGAUGAAAUGCGGAGGGUGAUGGAGGAAGAGAACGAGGAUGGGUUUGCGGAGAAUCUGGAUUCUGAAAAUUCCGAGGAUGAAGUGGAGGUACCGAUUCCUUGUGCAUGGGAUCAUGACAUAGCCGCCGACAUUACUGUCAACAAUGGCUAUGAAACUUCAUGGCAAUAUAAUCUGAACCAAGUCCAGGUCGAGG